rnacentral:rRNA from 1 species
UACGUAGGGGGCAAGCGUUGUCCGGAAUCAUUGGGCGUAAAGCGCGUGUAGGCGGUCCGGUAAGUCCGCUGUGAAAGUCGGGGGCUUAACUCUCGGAUGCCGGUGGAUACUGUCGGGCUUGAGUACGGAAGAGGCGAGUGGAAUUCCUGGUGUAGCGGUGAAAUGCGCAGAUAUCAGGAGGAACACCAAUUGCGAAGGCAGCUCGCUGGGACGUUACUGACGCUGAGACGCGAAAGCGUGGGGAGCAAACAGG